AUUCCAGCCUGAGAAUAAGUUAUUCUCCUGCCAAACUUUUCCUAAUAAAUCUUUAAAUUGCCAAACAUGCCGGAGAAAAUUCUUUGCAUAAAAUAUUAAAUUGAGUUAUCAGCCCUGCUUGUUAGUAUAAUCUCAUUUAGCAAGACUAUUUGAUUUUCUCACUGUGAGACAAUUUAGAAACCCUAUUGGAGCUUUUCCAUAAAAUGAUAUCAGUGUCAGAGAGGAGAUGUUCUACCACUAAGAAAAAACUGCGGUGAGAUUAUACUUAAACGAUGCCAGCCCCAAGGAGCAAACAAACACCGAAGUAUGUCUCUCUGUACCCCUCUCUCUCCUUUCUCAUCACCUGUGUUUUUCAGGAAUCAUCUUGAGGAAGAGGGAUUGAGCUCCCCUGAUGUUCUCCCUAUUGUACCCUUUGAUGUCCAGGGGAAGACAGGACACUGAAAAUUAUACAUUUUUUUUGUACUUUUCCCCACGUACCUGUCUUUCUGAUAGAUUAAUUCAUGUUUUAACAAAAUUUGCUGAAUUGGCUCACACAGGCAUUGCAGAAAAUACCUUUCUCGUCUGGCGGAUCUGUUCCUCCUCUCCUUCUUCUUCAUUGCAGACUAGGUGGUUUCGGUUGGGUGCUGUUCCACAGAGAUGCCUCAGGGGAUGACAGAAGGUCUUAGUUAGGUGCUGCUCCACAGAGAUGCCUCAGGGGAUGACAGAAGGUCUUGGUUAGGUGCUGCUCCACAGAGACGCUGCAGGGGAUGACAGAAGGUCUUGGUUAGGUGCUGCUCCACAGAGAUGCCUCUGGGGAUGACAGAAGGUCUUGGUUAGGUGCUGCUCCACAGAGAUGCCUCAGGGGAUGACCGAAGGUCUUGGUUAGGUGCUGCUCCACAGAGACGCUGCAGGGGAUGACAGAAGGUCUUGGUUAGGUGCUGCUCCACAGGUCCGAGGUCCCGGAACACAUAGUGACCGUGACGACGGGGCUCUGAGGUCCCGGAACACAUAGUGGCCGUGACGACACGAGGCGGGGCUCUGAGGUACCGGGGCUCUGAGGUACCGGAACACAUAGUGACCGUGACGAUGGGAGUGGGGGGCUUUGAGGUACCGGAA
ensembl:lncRNA